GAUGAACGCUGGCGGCGUGCCUAAUACAUGCAAGUCGAGCGAACAGACGAGGAGCUUGCUCCUCUGACGUUAGCGGCGGACGGGUGAGUAACACGUGGAUAACCUACCUAUAAGACUGGGAUAACUUCGGGAAACCGGAGCUAAUACCGGAUAAUAUAUUGAACCGCAUGGUUCAAUAGUGAAAGACGGUUUUGCUGUCACUUAUAGAUGGAUCCGCGCCGCAUUAGCUAGUUGGUAAGGUAACGGCUUACCAAGGCAACGAUGCGUAGCCGACCUGAGAGGGUGAUCGGCCACACUGGAACUGAGACACGGGCCAGACUCCUACGGGAGGCAGCAGUAGGGAAUCUUCCGCAAUGGGCGAAAGCUUGACGGAGCAACGCCGCGUGAGUGAUGAAGGUCUUCGGAUCGUAAAACUCUGUUAUUAGGGAAGAACAAAUGUGUAAGUAACUAUGCACGUCUUGACGGUACCUAAUCAGAAAGCCACGGCUAACUACGU
rnacentral:rRNA from 1 species